GAUGAAGAACGUAGCGAAAUGCGAUACGUAAUGUGAAUUGCAGAAUUCAGUGAAUCAUCGAGUCUUUGAACGCACAUUGCGCCCCCUGGUAUUCCGGGGGGCAUGCCUGUCCGAGCGUCAUUGCUGCCCUCAAGCACGGCUUGUGUGUUGGGCCUCCGUCCUCCUCCCGGGGGACGGGCCCGAAAGGCAGCGGCGGCACCGCGUCCGGUCCUCGAGCGUAUGGGGCUUCGUCACCCGCUCUUGUAUGCCCGGCCGGCGCUUGCCGACACAUCAAUCUUUUUUCCAGGUUGACCUCGGAUCAGGUAGGGAUACCCGCUGAACUUAAGCAUAUCAAUAAGCGGAGGA
rnacentral:misc_RNA from 1 species